rnacentral:rRNA from 1 species
UUUAUGGAGAGUUUGAUCCUGGCUCAGGAUGAACGCUGGCGGCGUGCCUAAUACAUGCAAGUCGAGCGAACGGACGAGAAGCUUGCUUCUCUGAUGUUAGCGGCGGACGGGUGAGUAACACGUGGAUAACCUACCUAUAAGACUGGGAUAACUUCGGGAAACCGGAGCUAAUACCGGAUAAUAUUUUGAACCGCAUGGUUCAAAAGUGAAAGACGGUCUUGCUGUCACUUAUAGAUGGAUCCGCGCUGCAUUAGCUAGUUGGUAAGGUAACGGCUUACCAAGGCAACGAUG